rnacentral:rRNA from 1 species
AUUGAACGCUGGCGGCAGGCCUAACACAUGCAAGUCGAACGGUAGCACAGAGAGCUUGCUCUCGAGUGACGAGUGGCGGACGGGUGAGUAAUGUCUGGGAAACUGCCCGAUGGAGGGGGAUAACUACUGGAAACGGUAGCUAAUACCGCAUAACGUCGCAAGACCAAAGUGGGGGACCUUCGGGCCUCACACCAUCGGAUGUGCCCAGAUGGGAUUAGCUAGUAGGUGGGGUAAUGGCUCACCUAGGCGACGAUCCCUAGCUGGUCUGAGAGGAUGACCAGCAAAACUGGAACUGAGACACGGUCCAGACUCCUACGGGAGGCAGCAGUGGGGAAUAUUGCACAAUGGGCGCAAGCCUGAUGCAGCCAUGCCGCGUGUAUGAAGAAGGCCUUCGGGUUGUAAAGUACUUUCAGCGGGGAGGAAGGCGGUGAAGUUAAUAACUUCACCGAUUGACGUUACCCGCAGAAGAAGCACCGGCUAACUCCGUGCCAGCAGCCGCCGUAA